GGGGGUGUGAGAGCACGGCCCCCCACAAUGGGACUGAAACACGGCCCAUACUCCUACGGGAGGCAGCAGCAGGGAAUAUUGCACAAUAGGCGAAAGCCUGAUGCAGCGACGCCGCGUGAGUGAAGAAGGCCUUCGGGUCGUAAAGCUCUUUUGUAGGGGAAGAGGAAGGACGGUACCCUAAGAAGAAGCGUCGGCUAACUACGUGCCAGCAGCCGCGGUAAGACGUAGGACGCGAGCGUUAUCCGGAAUUACUGGGCGUAAAGGGCCAGCAGGCGGCUUGGUAAGUUGUGCGUGAAAGCCUCGUGCUCAACGCGAGGAAGCCGGACAAUACUGUCAAGCUAGAGGGCAUCAGAGGGGAGUGGAAUUCCCGGAGUAGCGGUAAAAUGCGCAGAUAUCGGGAGGAACACCGAUGGCGAAGGCAGCUCCCUGGGAUGCACCUGACGCUAAGAGGCGAAAGCUAGGGGAGCGAACAGGAUUAGAGACCCUGGUAGUCCUAGCUGUAAACGCUGGGUGCUAGGUGUGGGACGUAGAAGUUCCGUGCCGGAGCAAACGCGAUAAGCACCCCGCCUGGGAAUUACGGUCGCAAGGCUAAAACUCAAACGAAUUGACGGGGCCCCGCACAAGCAGCGGAGCGUGUGGUUCAAUUCGAUGCUACACGAAGAACCUUACCUGGGUUUGACAUGUACGUGGUACGAAGGCGAAAGCCUGAGGACCCUUCGGGGAGCGUACACAGGUGCUGCAUGGCUGUCGUCAGCUCGUGCCGUGAGGUGUCGGGUUAAGUCCCGUAACGAGCGCAACCCUUGCCCUUAGUUACAAGUGUCUAAGGGGACUGCCGGCGGGAAGCCGGAGGAAGGUGGGGAUGACGUCAAGUCAGCAUGCCCCUUAUGUCCAGGGCUACACACACGCUACAAUGGUCAGUACAAAGGGUAGCGAAGUCGCGAGGCGGAGCGAAUCUCAACAAAGCUGAUCGUAGUUCGGAUUGCAGGCUGCAACCCGCCUGCAUGAAGCUGGAGUUGCUAGUAACCGCGCGUCAGCCAUAGUGCGGUGAAUACGUACCCNGGGGCCUGUACACACCGCCCGUCACGUCAUGGGAGUCGGUAACGCCUGAAGCCGGUAGUCUGGCCCGCAAGGGGGGACGCUGUCGAAGGC
rnacentral:rRNA from 1 species